rnacentral:rRNA from 1 species
UACCAGCACCCCGAGUGGUCGGGACGUUUUAUUGGGCCUAAAGCAUCCGUAGCCGGUUCUGCAAGUCUUCCGUUAAAUCCAACUGCUUAACAGAUGGGCCGCGGAGGAUACUAUAAGACUAGGAGGCAGGAGAGGCAAGCGGUACUCAGUGGGUAGGGGUAAAAUCCGUUGAUCCAUUGAAGACCACCAGUGGCGAAGGCGGCUUGCCAGAAUGCGCUCGACGGUGAGGGAUGAAAGCUGGGGGAGCAAACCGG